rnacentral:rRNA from 1 species
AUACGGAGGGUGCAAGCGUUAUCCGGAUUUAUUAGGUUUAAAGGGUCCGUAGGCGGGAAUAUAAGUCAGUGGUGAAAUCCUGCAGCUUAACUGUAGAACUGCCAUUGAUACUGUAUUUCUUGAGUUUAGUCGAGGUAGGCGGAAUGUGUAAUGUAGCGGUGAAAUGCUUAGAUAUUACACAGAACACCGAUUGCGAAGGCAGCUUACUAGGCUAUAACUGACGCUGAUGGACGAAAGCGUGGGGAGCGAACAGGAUUAGAAACCCCAGUAGUCC